rnacentral:rRNA from 1 species
CAAUAGCGUAUAUUGAAGUUGUUGCGGUUAAAAAGCUCGUCGUUGGAUUUCUGUUGAGGUCGAACAGUGCCGCCCUAUGGGUGCGCAACUGGCUCGGCUUCGGCAUCUUCUUGGAGAGCGCAUCUGCACUUAACUGUGUGGAUCGUACUUCAAGUCAGUUACUUUGAGGAAUUGUGAGUGUUUCAAGCAGGCUUACGCCGUUGAAUCCGUUAGCAUGGAAUAAUAGGAUAGGACCUCGGUUCUAUUUUGUUGGUUUUGAGAGCUGGGGCAGCGAUUGAUAGGGACGGAUGGGGGCGUCCGAACUUUACUGUCAGAGGUGAAAUUCUUAGAUCGGUCAAAGGCGAACUACUGCGAGCGCAUUCGCCAAGAAUGUUUUCUUUAA